GGCGAGGUAGCUCAGUUGGUUAGAGCAGGCGUUUCAUACGCGCCGGGUCGGUGGUUCGAGUCCACUCCUCGCCA
rnacentral:tRNA from 1 species